rnacentral:lncRNA from 15 species
GCGAUGCGUCUGCUGUGAAUAAAAGCGCUGCAGAGGAUUCCAGUUUGAACUCAACACCACAACUACAACAUCAGCUGGAACUGCAGCAGGGACUGUGAGCGAGUACUGAAAGUAAACAGGAGAUGUUUGCGUCUAAAACUAAAGCACUUGUGAAGAAUCUGGGCGCUGAGGGCGACCUCAUCGAUAACGACAAUGUGAACGAAAAAAUUGAGAUGCUGACUCUGGUCAAAGUCAGACAGAGAAGAUUCUGGCCAGUAAUCAAGUACACGACCACGGACCUAACACUGCUCGACCUCCUGGAGGAACCAAACUAUUCACCAGAAUACACAGAGGAGGUUUUGGCUGAGGAUUUUAACAAUCUGAUACGCAUAUGUGGGAAUGGCAGUGUUGGAGCAGGAGCACAUGAUGUCGAAUUGAAAGCCAGUGCAGAAACAGACACUGUGGACGGAGUGUCACCCAUCACUCUGAAGAAAAAGACAGUGGACAUCGAAAAACUGAGGAAGAACUACACAGACAAGAAGGUAAAGAAAAAGUUUGUGGACAUGCUUAAACUGAAGGAGGAUGAAAAGCUGACUUUUGUCUACCAGUCAGUCUACAACACUACGCCGGUUAAGUUUUUUGACAUUGCCAUAAACCAGGGCUCUACGUCAGCAGCAUUUAAAAUAUACUUCCAACUGUGUGUGACGGGCAAAAAGAAAGAGAAGACAACCUUCAUUGUUCCAGAAGAAUCCACCUUCGCUUACAGUCUAAUGGAGAUAACAACUGAGGAUGGGACCCUGGGAAUCCCUCCAAGAACCAGGAAUGUGAGACGUUAUAAUGAAGAAUGGUGGCGCUUCAGCUCAGACGGCGAAGGCGACUGUGAGACCUUCCAACGGGUGAAAGGAGCUCUGCCAGACUCUGUGCCUGCACUGCUGACCACCUGCAGUCCUGAUACUCUGAGAGUCCUGAACCAGCUGGUGAGCAGUCUUGGCAAAGAGGCCAAACUCCCAGAGUCACUGCCUCCUCCCCUGCAGGAGGAGGGGAAGCUCCGCUGGGCAGCCGAGCUCCUCUGUUCCACCGGCGGCACCCUGCAGGAGCUGAAUGAGCAGUGGUUCAGACCCAAGCUGCCAGCAGGAGCGCUGCUGGAGGUGCUGUGCCUCGUCGUGCGGGGACUCAGCAUCAUACAGCACAUCAUGUAG